rnacentral:rRNA from 1 species
GUGCCAGCCGCCGCGGUAAUACGUAGGUGGCAAGCGUUGUCCGGAUUUAUUGGGCGUAAAGGGAGCGCAGGCGGUGACUUAAGUCUGAUGUGAAAGCCCACGGCUCAACCGUGGAAGGUCAUUGGAAACUGGGUCACUUGAGUGCAGAAGAGGAAAGUGGAAUUCCAUGUGUAGCGGUGAAAUGCGUAGAUAUAUGGAGGAACACCAGUGGCGAAGGCGACUUUCUGGUCUGUAACUGACGCUGAGGCUCGAAAGCGUGGGGAGCAAACAGGAUUAGAUAC